GAGGUGAAAUCUUGCAGCUCAACUGUAAAAUUGCCUUUGAAACUGGUUAUCUUGAGUUAUUAUGAAGUAGUUAGAAUAUGUAGUGUAGCGGUGAAAUGCAUAGAUAUAACAUAGAAUACCAAUUGCGAAGGCAGAUUACUAAUAAUCAACUGACACUGAUGGACGAAAGCGUGGGUAGCGAACAGGAUUAGAUACCCUGGUAGUCCACGCCGUAAACGAUGGUUACUAGCUGUUUGGACUUCGGUCUGAGUGGCUAAGCGAAAGUGAUAAGUAACCCACCUGGGGAGUACGUUCGCAAGAAUGAAACUCAAAGGAAUUGACGGGGGCCCGCACAAGCGGUGGAGCAUGUGGUUUAAUUCGAUGAUACGCGAGGAACCUUACCAGGGCUUAAAUGUAAGUUGCAUUAGUUAGAGAUAGCUAUUUCUUCGGACCACUUACAAGGUGCUGCAUGGUUGUCGUCAGCUCGUGCCGUGAGGUGUCAGGUUAAGUCCUAUAACGAGCGCAACCCCUGUUGUUAGUUGCCAGCGAGUCAUGUCGGGAACUCUAACAAGACUGCCAGUGCAAACUGUGAGGAAGGUGGGGAUGACGUCAAAUCAUCACGGCCCUUACGUCCUGGGCUACACACGUGCUACAAUGGUAGGUACAGAGAGCAGCCACUG
rnacentral:rRNA from 1 species